UAUAGAUAUUAUAGUCACAACAUUCUAUUAACAUACAUUGGGGUAAAUGAAGCAACAUAGACCUGAAAGGCCUACAAAAGGUGCACAGGUGGAGAUAUAAAGAUGACAAGGUGUGCACAUGCUCCCUAGGGAACCAGCAACAACCCGUCAGGUUUAUUUCAAUAAUGAUCCUUCCGCAGGUUCACCUACGGAAA
rnacentral:misc_RNA from 1 species